AGAGCUGUGCCCGUGUUCCAUGUGGAACUGCCAGGGCCCGGCGACGAGCACAACGCAGCCAUUCCCCUGCUGCCAGCCAGCCCUGAGCAGCUCCCAGCGCACCCUCUGGCCCGACCACCUUUGGUUCCAAGAGUACCCUUCCCCCUGCUCCCUCUGGACUGUCCCCACCUGCUCCCUUGAACAUCCGUCAGUGCUGACUCUGCCUGCAGUCUGGGUGUUGUGAUCCAUGCCAGCAGGAUGUGCAGCCUUGUCCCAGUGAAUGUCCAGUGCCAGUCCAUGGAGGAGGGCACCAACUGACUGGCCAGGUGGGCUGGAGCUCAGUGGGGCUGGGGUGGGACAGGCCCCCUCUGUGAGGUUGUUCUCCCUGCUGCAGGCUGAGAGAGACAGCGAAGAGCCAACGGAAGUGGACACGGCGAGAGAUCUAAAAGGCGAUGUAGAGGAGAUGGAGGUGGACACGCAAGAGGAAGAAGAGAUGGACGUGGAAGAGGACGGCGAGAAGGAGGAGGCCAUGAUCCUGGGAUAAGGACACCCCGCCUCAGCAGCAGGACUGACGGACGUGCCGGCCACGGAAUCGGCCACUUGUACAUAUGUUUUACAUGUUGUUCUGUAAAUACAUUUUAUAUUAUUGAAUUUUUAA